UCCAAAGAAAUUGAUAGAAGAGUGUGGCGCUGCCCGGACCAAGGCUGUCGCCGCGUGAUGAGUGUGAGGUCCGGGUCGUUUUUUAAAAGCUCUCGCCUUGAGCUGCGUCGGCUGAUGCUCAUCUUAUACUUUACGGCCCAGCAGCUGCCAGGUCAUAAAGUGGCCCUUGAGUCGGAAACAUCUCAGAAGACGGUAGUGGACUGGGGAAAAAGCUCUGGUCGGAUAGCUGGGGUGCGUAGAACAACGGCUAUCUGCAGGCCGCCGGUUUCCGGCACCAAGCCGUUAACCAUCGCGUGUAGUUUGUUCGACAGGACGGUGUGCACACAAACCGCGCUGAGUCGACUUGGGCGGCCAUGAAAGCUAAAUUGAAGUCGAUGCGAGGAACGUCUAGGGACCUCCUGGCCGACCAUCUGGACGAGUUCAUGCGGAUGAAGUGCCAUCGUCGACAGGAGUUUCCCGAGCUACUCCGCGCCAUCCGCGAGCAAUACCCCUUCUAACAAGCUCAGAUGGCUCUAAGCCCAGGGGACUUUGGCUCUGUUGCAGAGCACGACGGAGCAGCGCC